ACUUGCACCACCACCCCACGGAAAAAACUGCACGCGCCAAGUCGCCGCACGCGAAUCUCACACCCAAUUCCCCGAGGACCCCAAGGGGAAACCCUACCCAUUCCUCCCCACGGCGUCAUGGCGGCGCCGCCGCCGGAGUUCGUUGAGGUGCGGUGCGCGGGCUGCGGAGAGACGCUGGAAGUGGAUCCUGGCCUCACCGAGUUCGCCUGCCCCGACUGCGGGACCCACCAGGCGCUACCGCCGGAGCUCAUGCCGCCGCCGCCCCGGCGCCCGCGCCGGGCGCUGCCCAUCCCUGGCCGCGGACCUGCCUCCGCCGUGCCUGUUCCCGUGCCUGUGCCUGUUCCUGUGCCCGCUCGUAUGCCGUGCGAAGGCUGCGGCGCCGUGCUGAGCUUGCCGGCCGGCAUCGGGCGCUUCGCGUGCCCUCUCUGCAGCGUUGAGCUCGUCGUCGACGAUGGGAGACUCCGGCUCUGCCUCGACUCGCAGGACGCCGCCACAGUAUCUGUCGUGGAGCCGCCCCCAGCCGGCGCCAUGCCCUCGUCCCCUUACACACGCCGGCGGCAGGAGGUUCAAGUAGAAAGGCAUGACCAUCCAAUUCGCUCUGAGAUGCUGGCACAAUGCCCCAGUCUGUCAGUUAACACAGAGGAGACACCCAGUUCACUUAGAGCAGACACCCGGAUGACAAUACACAACAUGUUGGCACAAAAGGAGCCCCCUAACCGUUCAGUUUAUAGAGCAGAGUCACGUAUUGGGCCACCCAAUACAACAUCUAUGAUGUCUAUUACAAGGAAACCGAGAUUGCAAGCUGGUACUGAAUCUAUUAUAGGUUUGGAAAAAGUACAACCAGAGCCUCCCAUUCAGGCAAGCUACACACCACAGGCACAAGCCCGACCUCUCAGUUAUUCAUUUCGUAGUGACCAUCCUGUUGUGGGCGUUGCAAGUCAUCAACAUCAGAGAAAUGAAGUAUGUAGUACUAUGGAGCAGAAAAAUAUAGAUGAUCCUUCGGAUGAAGCUUUGAAUGAAAAGCAGACACAAGACAAGUAUCAGUGUAAGGCAAUUGAAGGGAACCCAAAGAGAAAACGGAGCAUCAAGAGUGCCAAUGGGAAGCAGAAGGGGGAAAAUAAGGGCUUGACGAGUUACCCAAAUGAUGGGCUCCAUCUUAGGCGUAGUAAGCACUUUACAAAGCAGUCGGAAUAUCCAGGUAACAAUGAACCGGCCCAGCAGUCAGCUGCAUCUUCAAAUGAAACUGAAACUGAUCAAACUGAUAUUGACAGAAUCAUUGCCGAUCUGUGUCCCAGUUCAUUGCCUCCUCACCAAAUGCCUCGAGCAAGAUCAAAUGAAUUGGAUAAUAUUGAGGCAACCAUUCUAGAAACUUCUUCAAAUCAUUGUAUGCCUCAAGUUGAACAGUUCCCACACUGCUACAGCCAAUUGUACCCUCCAGAGGAUGGUAGUCGACCCCAGCUUGAUAAAAGUGGUGAACAAGUGCGGCCACAAUCGCCAGAGGUCAUGGAUGUGCAACAGGAGGGUGCACACUGCGGCAAUUGCCUGUUAGGAUCUGAUCGAAAAUCAUCUGGUAAGCGAAGGGGACGUCCACAAAACUGCCCUACGAGACUGAUUGAACCACGCAGGGAAGUUGACAGGCCCAUUCUGACUCCAAAUAAUAUUGACAACUGGGACGUCAACCCACCUUGUCCUAAGGUGGCGUCUACCCUUACUAUUCUUAUGAAGCAGAAGCACCCUGGGUCAACCUAUCUGCUGGUUGAUCAGAAUGGCGAUGUUCCGCCUGAUGGGGAAGUGGUUCACCACUGGCACCAGUAUCCUCCAGAGAUGAGAGCUGCUGUUUUGAAUGAAUUUCUUCAACGCUAUAAGUGGGCCCCUGGCCGAGAAGCAGACUGCCUGAAACUAUUUGAACGCAGAGCAGUAAGACAGUUUGCUGGCAUCCUAUGGGAAGAGAAACGAAGGGUUAGAGGAGAGUUGGCUUCAGUACAUAAAGCCAAAGAAACUUCAGGAGCACAUAGGUCAAAUAGACGCACAGGGGUAAACAAUGAAGAUGCUAGAGAAGAGCUUGAGGAUCAGCAGAUAACAGCUAGAAGUGAGGAUGAUGACCCAUUACAGUGGAAACCUUAUCCCCCUGCUUGGUUGUAUCCAAAUUGGUGGGAGAGAUUGUGUGAGCACUGGGCCAAAGAAGAAGUCUUAAUGAUGUCUUCCCAGAACAGGAAGAACCGGCGCUCUGGAGGUCGUGCGUUUCAUACAACAGGUUCACGCAGCUUGGCCAUGCACCGCCAGCUUAUGGUUAUGGAAAAUGGUGGGGAGAUGGUGUCAGAACUCGAGGUAUUCAACAAGACCCAUAAGCUUAAUGGUGGCACAGGUGAAUUUAUCAGUGAGAGAGCAAAGCGAACUGUGGAGGGCUUCAAGAAGCGUAUGGAGGAGGCUGGUGAUAAGGACAUAGAUCCCAAUCUUGCAUGGGUACAAGAAGUCGGUGGCCGGAGUCGUCGAGGGAGGUAUUAUGGCCUUACUGGUAUAGUUGACAAGGCCAAGGUCGAUGAAUUGGCGAAGUCUGUUCCAGGUUGUUCUGGUGAACAAGGCCAGGAGCAGAAGUUCACGCAGGAGCAGGCGCAACAGAUGAUUAAUCAGGCUCUGCAAGGGUUUAAUGAAGCCUGGGAAAUUAAGUUUAAGUCCCUGGAGCAAAGUGUUUAUGGCAUGCCAUUGUUAGGUGUGCAUCCUGAGCAUGGUCCUGGGUCUUCUGCGUCUGGAGGGGCUGUUCAGGACGAGCGUUCCACACAUAAGGUUUUGUCAGGCCCUCAACAUGGUGAAAGAUGCCCAUCUGAGAGGCAUGGCGACAACAAUAAUGACGAGGAAGCUAUGUCUACCAGCGUUUGAGCUGCACCUGUAAGCCAAUGCUGUUUCCAUGUGCAUUGUGCUGUAUGAAUGCUGAACUUCUAAGGGCAUUUCACCGACAUAAGGCAUAAGGCAUAUAUCGUCAAGAUUCAACUAUGAAGGAACAAGCCAAGUCUGUAGUCCAGCUCCGGAGUAAAAGAUUACGACAUUUGCUUGAUUUGUGCUGCCAAGCUGAUCUUAGAGAUUGUUUAUCACUUUAUUGCUGAGUAAGUACAUGCCCGAUGACUGGCAAAAUAUGUGUUCUAUUGUGGGUUGAUCUCUUGCUGUUGCAGAUGCCUGCCUGAAGAAACCUUGUAACUAUUAUCUGUUUUUCCUGGGUUUCUACCAAAGCCAUGGCUACACUGGCAUUUUGCAGAAAGCCAUGUGCUCAAGCUUUAUUGCAGUAUAGAAGGUAACUUUGUAACUUUGUAGGCUGUAGCCUCAUCAUUCUUGAGCAGUGCAUAACUUUCAUUC